rfam:Streptomyces auratus AGR0001 genomic scaffold Scaffold1, whole genome shotgun sequence.
CGAUAGCUGAACCGCCAGGUCCCCUCCGGGUCGGUGAGCGGCUCGUCGCCGAGGUGGUCGCCGCCGGCCAGCGCUUCGAGGACGGUGUCCUCGCCGUAUUUGCCGGUGCCGAUCCGGUCCACCCGGCCGUGCGCGAUCAACACCAGCCGGUCGCCCGGCGCGCCGGCCUCGGCGAUCAGUUCCCCGGGCGCGUAUUCCUGCUGGGUGAACCGCUCGCCGAGCGCCGCCAGCGCCUGGGAAUCGGUGAACUCCCGCAGCGCGGGCAGCUCGCGCAGCUCCUCGGGGAUGAUCGCCACAUCGCUGCCGGUGAUAUCGAAAUCGAUGCGCCCGUCGCCGAGCGUGUACGUCAGCCGGCGGUUCACGCGGUACGUACCGCCGGACACCUGCACCCAGGGCAGCAGCCGCAGCAGCCAGCGGGACGUGAUGCCCUGCAUCUGCGGUGCCGUUUUGGUGGUGGUCGCCAAAUUCCGUGCCGCGGUGGUACUCAGACUGGAAUUCUGGGACUCUUCCG